CUUCAUUUAAGGGUCUGUUGCCUUUCUCCAGCUUUUAAAAAACAUUUUCCCUAAAGGCUGACAUUUAAAUCUCUAACACUUAAAUCACAAUUUAUUUAUUUUUUUUUCAUAUCCACAUUACAUGUUGUCAGAAGAGGUUCUGCUGUAAUACAAUGCAAUAUGCAAAUAUUAAGAGGCCAUUAUUAUCAUCUAUGUUAUGAAGAGCUGGUCAACCCUCUGCUACAAUCUUUUUUUUUUUUUUUUUUUUUGUACAUCACUAAAAAGAAUAGCCAAAAGCAAUAUUCCUUUAGUAUUCAAAAUGAUGUGAAGUUUAUUACAGAGAUCCUUUUAAAAUGAUUUUUGGGUAACAUUUGUAUUUCCUCCUUAUCACUAGAUGACAGCAACAAGAAUUUCACAUAUCAGAAAAUGUGUAUAAGGGAAUACCGAGACAUUUUGCUCUGACCAGAGAGAAACCCUCCUACAUCCAAUCAAAAGGAGAAGAAUAGAAAAUGGGGCAGUUGCAGCCCACGUCAUCAGCCCCUAACAAAAGCAGUACAAAAUUCAGUGCAAAUGAACACUAAGGUGAAUGAAAACCAAGAGGCUCACACAACCUGUUUACAAAUACGUCCUGUUUUUAUCUAUGAUUGCUUCACAGCGCUGCUGUGCUUCUCUGAUGUGCUGGACUUGAGUCACAGCCCUGAUAUAAGCAAUGCGUUACUUUCCCAACCAAAGAAAAUGUAAUUUAAGCAAGCUUGUCAACAGUAGGGCCCAGCAGGCAGGCGAAGCAAGGAAUCCAAGAGGGUCAGAUUUCUUGGUAUUUCUCUGCUAGCACAGAAGAUUAGAAGAUAACAUUUCUUGUUUGGAAGAAAUGAAUCAAAUCUGCAGCUUCAUCUUAGGAAGACAAUCCUCCCAGACUUUCUCCUGCUCCCACUUUCCCCUUCAAACCAAGUACUGGGUAAAUAGAUCCAUACUACCAACAGCAACGCACUGCAGUUCAGUCACUUUUACCAUGAGCUACCUAUUAAGUAUUUUUUCUCAAGACUUUCCAAGAUGCCACAAGUAAAUAAUUGAAGUAAAUGUCAAGCUGCCCUCCAACUUCCAAGAAAGGACCAGGGAUGAUUUCAAGGACAUUAAAAGGACUAUUACCUAAUUAUAUUUCAUAUGCACUUCUACAUAAUGUCUGAGUUAUGCAAGUGUGGGGGUAUUUAUCAAAAGAAAGUAUGAAUUUAGGUAUAACUUCACAUACAUUUUCUUCUCACUUUUUUUUUUUUCUUUUUUUUUCCUUCCUAGGAUAGUUCUGGAGCAUAAUAAUAUUUCUAUGUGUCAUGAUUGUUAUUACUUUUAAAAUACAUAAUCAAUGCUGAGAAAACAGAAAGAAAAAAAGAAAAGAAAGAAAGAAAGAAAGAAAGAAAGAAAGAAAGAAAGAAAGAAAAGAAAGAAAGAAAGAAAGAAAGAAAGAAAGAGAGAAAGAGAGAAAGAGAGAAAGAGAGAAAGAAAAAGAAAAGAGCCAAUAUAACUGUAACAGAAAGCAUAUGCAUCAAGGUAACAUAGUGUAGCCAUCUACCUCUGUAGAAUUUUAGCUCUAUGCUACUGAUUUAGAGGUAGAAGCACAAAUAUUUUAUUGUUUCUUUACAAGUGAUAUGGUAACCUCUUUUUGGAUAAAUACAGCCUUUGUUGCAUCUCAGUGAAAGGCACAGUGCUGACUACACAUCUUGAAGUUUCAUUUCAUUAAUAAAGAAAGGGGGGAGAGACA
rnacentral:lncRNA from 1 species